CUACGGGAGGCAGCAGUGGGGAAUAUUGGGCAAUGGACGCAAGUCUGACCCAGCAACGCCGCGUGAAGGAAGAAGGCUUUCGGGUUGUAAACUUCUUUUAAGGGGGAAGAGCAGAAGACGGUACCCCUUGAAUAAGCCACGGCUAACUACGUGCCAGCAGCCGCGGUAAUACGUAGGUGGCAAGCGUUGUCCGGAUUUAUUGGGUUUAAAGGGUGCGCAGGCGGAAGAUCAAGUCAGCGGUAAAAUUGAGAGGCUCAACCUCUUCGAGCCGUUGAAACUGGUUUUCUUGAGUGAGUGAGAAGUAUGCGGAAUGCGUGGUGUAGCGGUGAAAUGCAUAGAUAUCACGCAGAACUCCGAUUGCGAAGGCAGCAUACCGGCGCUCAACUGACGCUCAUGCACGAAAGUGUGGGUAUCGAACAGGAUUAGAUACCCUAGUAGUC
rnacentral:rRNA from 1 species